rnacentral:rRNA from 1 species
AUUGAACGCUGGCGGCAGGCCUAACACAUGCAAGUCGAACGAGUGGCGGACGGGUGAGUAAUGUCUGGGAAACUGCCUGAUGGAGGGGGAUCACUACUGGAAACGGUAGCUAAUACCGCAUACCCUCAGAUGUGCCCAGCUGGGAUUGGCUUGUUGGUGGGGUAACGGCUCACCAAGGCGACGAUCCCUAGCUGGUCUGAGAGGAUGACCAGCCACACUGGAAAGGAGACACGGUCCAGCGUCCUACGGGAGGAAGCAGGGGGGAAUAUUGCAAAAGGGGCGCAAGCCGGAUGCAGCCAUGCCGCGUGUAUGAAGAAGGCCUCCGGGUUGUAAAGUACUGUCAGCGGGGAGGCGUUACCCGCAGAAGAAGCACCGGCUAACUCCGUGCCAGCAGCCGCGGUAAUUC